CUGGCCUGCUCACUGACGAAGUCUUAAAGAGCCGCGGUAUUUUGACCGUGCAAAGGUAGCAUAAUCAUUAGUCUCUUAAUUAGGGGCUAGAAUGAAUGGCUUGACGAGAAAUCAUCUGUCUCUUAUUAAAUUAUAGAAUUUAACUUUUAAGUUAAAAGGCUUAAAUUUUUCUUAAAGACGAGAAGACCCUAUAGAGCUUAAUAUUUUAUUUUUAUAUAAUUUUUAGUUAAUCUUUUUAUAUUUAAAGUUAAUGUUUUGUUGGGGUGACAUGAAGAAUAAAUAAACUCUUCUUUUUAAAAUCAUUGAUUUAUGUUUAAUGUGAUCCAUAAUUUAUGAUCAUAAGAUUAAGUUACCUUAGGGAUAACAGCGUAAUUGUUUUUGAGAGCUCAUAUUGACAAAGCAGAUUGCGACCUCGAUGUUGGAUUAAGAAUAAUUUUAGGUGCAGUAGCUUAAUAAUUAGGUCUGU
rnacentral:rRNA from 1 species